CGUGGGCGGCAGCCUAACACAUGCAAGUCGAGCGGCAGCGGAAGUAGCUUGCUACUUUGCCGGCGAGCGGCGGACGGGUGAGUAAUGUCUGGGAAACUGCCUGAUGGAGGGGGAUAACUACUGGAAACGGUAGCUAAUACCGCAUAACGUCGCAAGACCAAAGAGGGGGACCUUCGGGCCUCUUGCCAUCAGAUGUGCCCAGAUGGGAUUAGCUAGUAGGUGGGGUAACGGCUCACCUAGGCGACGAUCCCUAGCUGGUCUGAGAGGAUGACCAGCCACACUGGAACUGAGACACGGUCCAGACUCCUACGGGAGGCAGCAGUGGGGAAUAUUGCACAAUGGGCGCAAGCCUGAUGCAGCCAUGCCGCGUGUAUGAAGAAGGCCUUCGGGUUGUAAAGUACUUUCAGCGGGGAGGAAGGCGUUGAGGUUAAUAACCUCAGCGAUUGACGUUACCCGCAGAAGAAGCACCGGCUAACUCCGUGCCAGCAGCCGCGGUAAUACGGAGGGUGCAAGCGUUAAUCGGAAUUACUGGGCGUAAAGCGCACGCAGGCGGUCUGUCAAGUCGGAUGUGAAAUCCCCGGGCUCAACCUGGGAACUGCAUUCGAAACUGGCAGGCUAGAGUCUUGUAGAGGGGGGUAGAAUUCCAGGUGUAGCGGUGAAAUGCGUAGAGAUCUGGAGGAAUACCGGUGGCGAAGGCGGCCCCCUGGACAAAGACUGACGCUCAGGUGCGAAAGCGUGGGGAGCAAACAGGAUUAGAUACCCUGGUAGUCCACGCCGUAAACGAUGUCGACUUGGAGGUUGUGCCCUUGAGGCGUGGCUUCCGGAGCUAACGCGUUAAGUCGACCGCCUGGGGAGUACGGCCGCAAGGUUAAAACUCAAAUGAAUUGACGGGGGGCCCGCACAAGCGGUGGAGCAUGUGGUUUAAUUCGAUGCAACGCGAGAACCUUACCUACUCUUGACAUCCAGAGAACUUAGCAGAGAUGCUUUGGUGCCUUCGGAACUCUGAGACAGUGCUGCAUGGCUGUCGUCAGCUCGUGUUGUGAAAUUGUUGGGUUUAAGUCCGCAACGAGCGCACCCUUUAUCCUUUUUGUUGCCAGCGUUAGCCGGACCUCAAGGAGACUGCAGUGAUAACUGGAGGAGGUGGGAUGACGUCAGUCAUCAUGGCUUACCGAGUAGCUUACAACGUGCUAACAAUGGCGCUCAUACAGGGAAGGCCUGUAUGCU
rnacentral:rRNA from 1 species